rnacentral:rRNA from 1 species
GAUCUUGAGUUCGGGAGAGGUGAGUGGAUCUCCGAGUGUAGAGGUGAAAUUCGUAGAUAUUCGCAAGAACCCCAGUGGCGAAGGCGGCUCACUGGCCCGAUACUGACGUUGAGGCACGAAAGCGUGGGGAGCAAACAGGAUUAGAUCCCCUGGUAGUCCACCCCGUAAACGUUGAAUGCCAGCCGUUAGUGGGUUUACUCACUAGUGGCGCAGCUA